GGUACUAAAAUGCAAGUCGAGCGGUAGAGAGAAGCUUGCUUCUCUUGAGAGCGGCGGACGGGUGAGUAAUGCCUAGGAAUCUGCCUGGUAGUGGGGGAUAACGUCCGGAAACGGACGCUAAUACCGCAUACGUCCUACGGGAGAAAGCAGGGGACCUUCGGGCCUUGCGCUAUCAGAUGAGCCUAGGUCGGAUUAGCUAGUUGGUGAGGUAAUGGCUCACCAAGGCGACGAUCCGUAACUGGUCUGAGAGGAUGAUCAGUCACACUGGAACUGAGACACGGUCCAGACUCCUACGGGAGGCAGCAGUGGGGAAUAUUGGACAAUGGGCGAAAGCCUGAUCCAGCCAUGCCGCGUGUGUGAAGAAGGUCUUCGGAUUGUAAAGCACUUUAAGUUGGGAGGAAGGGCAGUUACCUAAUACUUUGCUGUUUUGACGUUACCGACAGAAUAAGCACCGGCUAACUCUGUGCCAGCAGCCGCGGUAAUACAGAGGGUGCAAGCGUUAAUCGGAAUUACUGGGCGUAAAGCGCGCGUAGGUGGUUCGUUAAGUUGGAUGUGAAAUCCCCGGGCUCAACCUGGGAACUGCAUUCAAAACUGACUGACUAGAGUGUGGUAGAGGGUGGUGGAAUUUCCUGUGUAGCGGUGAAAUGCGUAGAUAUAGGAAGGAACACCAGUGGCGAAGGCGACCACCUGGACUGACACUGACACUGAGGUGCGAAAGCGUGGGGAGCAAACAGGAUUAGAUACCCUGGUAGUCCACGCCGUAAACGAUGUCAACUAGCCGUUGGGAGCCUUGAGCUCUUAGUGGCGCAGCUAACGCAUUAAGUUGACCGCCUGGGGGAGUACGGCCCGCAAGGUUUAAAACUCAAAUGAAUUUGACGGGGGCCCCGCCCAAACGGUGGAACCAUGUGGGUUUAAUUUCGAAGCAACCGCGAAGAACCCUUACCAGGGCCUUUGACAAUCCCAAUGAACUUUUCUAAAAAUAAAAUUGGGGCCCUCGGGAAACAUUUAAAAACAGGG
rnacentral:rRNA from 1 species